AUCCAUAAUAUAAAGUGUCUCACACGGCCCCGGGGGGUGAACAGAGGCCUUCUGUAGCGAAUCGAUGCGUUUUUGUAAGAAAAAUAUCCAUAUUCAAAACGU